GAACGAUGUCGAUUUGGAGGUUGUGCCCUUGAGGCGUGGCUUCCGGAGCUAACGCGUUAAAUCGACCGCCUGGGGAGUACGGCCGCAAGGUUAAAACUCAAAUGAAUUGACGGGGGCCCGCACAAGCGGUGGAGCAUGUGGUUUAAUUCGAUGCAACGCGAAGAACCUUACCUACUCUUGACAUCCAGAGAAUUUAGCAGAGAUGCUUUAGUGCCUUCGGGAACUCUGAGACAGGUGCUGCAUGGCUGUCGUCAGCUCGUGUUGUGAAAUGUUGGGUUAAGUCCCGCAACGAGCGCAACCCUUAUCCUUUGUUGCCAGCACAUUAUGGUGGGAACUCAAAGGAGACUGCCGGUGAUAAACCGGAGGAAGGUGGGGAUGACGUCAAGUCAUCAUGGCCCUUACGAGUAGGGCUACACACGUGCUACAAUGGCGUAUACAAAGAGAAGCGACCUCGCGAGAGCAAGCGGAACUCAUAAAGUACGUCGUAGUCCGGAUUGGAGUCUGCAACUCGACUCCAUGAAGUCGGAAUCGCUAGUAAUCGUAGAUCAGAAUGCUACGGUGAAUACGUUCCCGGGCCUUGUACACACCGCCCGUCACACCAUGGGAGUGGGUUGCAAAAGAAGUAGGUAGCUUAACCUUCGGGAGGGCGCUUACCACUUUGUGAUUCAUGACUGGGGUGAAGUCGUAACAAGGUAACCA
rnacentral:rRNA from 1 species